AUGUACGAUCAUCAACACUAAUACACUGGAUCUCAUCAGAACUCCACAAAUAAGUGUGUUUAGGCAAAAAUAGUACGGAGUACUAGAAAUGAGAGGUGACCUAUGUGGAAGUUCACU
rnacentral:rRNA from 1 species